UAACCAAAGACUAUACAUCAACUGACCCAU
rnacentral:piRNA from 1 species